rnacentral:rRNA from 1 species
CCUACGGGCGGCAGCAGUAGGGAAUCUUCCACAAUGGGCGCAAGCCUGAUGGAGCAACACCGCGUGAGUGAAGAAGGGUUUCGGCUCGGAAAGCUCUGUUGUUGGAGAAGAACGGGCGGGAGAGUAACUGUUCACGCAGGGACGGUAUCCAACCAGAAAGGCACGGCUAACUACGUGCCAGCAGCCGCGGUAAGACGUAGGUGGCAAGCGUUAUCCGGAUUUAUUGGGCGUAAAGCGAGCGCAGGCGGUUGCUUAGGUCUGAGGUGAAAGCCUUCGGCUUAACCGAAGAAGUGCAUCGGAAACCGGGCAACUUGAGUGCAGCAGCGGACAGUGGAACUCCAUGUGUAGCGG